GAAUGCGUAGCUCAGCUUGGCAGAGCGCUCGGCGCAGGAGAGGCCGCGGGUUCAAAUCCCGUCGCGUUCG
rnacentral:tRNA from 1 species